UCUCAGAUACAGCUUGGCUGAAGCAAUAGAGAAAAAAAUUCCUAUGAAGUAGAGAGAGAGAAAAGAGAGGUGUUUUGUCAGUUGGACAUUUCUGAGAAGCAACAUUGAUUUAUUUUCCACAUAAUGUUUAGGAUUAUGUGCCAGAGAAUAUGAGCUGAGUUCAUUCCUGGACAUAGAACUUUAACAUGUAUGCCAGACUCUCUUUUGGUUAGUUAUGAACAUAUUAAGUUGCAAUGAAUGUGAUGAAGGAAAUAAUGAAUGCCACCUUUAGAUCUUGCUCACAAACCAACCAACCAGCAAACACACCCAGGCUUCUUGAGUCAUGGAUUUGGAGAGAUUCUCACCAAAAAUGCUUGCAUUGUUCUCGUAUGUGAAUAAGAAGGUAACUUUUAUGGUCUCAUGUCCU
rnacentral:lncRNA from 1 species